GCCUGGGUGGCGGAAUUGGUAGACGCGCAAGACUUAAAAUCUUGUUUCCUUGUGAAGUCCGGGUUCGAUUCCCGGCCUAGGCACCA
rnacentral:tRNA from 1 species